rnacentral:rRNA from 1 species
GACGAACCGUGCGAACGUUAUUCGGAAUCACUGGGCUUAAAGCGCGUGUAGGCGAGACGGCACGUCGGUCGCUGAAAGCCCCCGGCUCAACCGGGGAAGUGGCGCCGAUACGACCGACCUGGAGGGACGUAGGGGGACCUGGAACUUCCGGUGGAGCGGUGAAAUGCGUUGAGAUCGGAAGGAACGCCCGUGGCGAAAGCGAGGUCCUGGACCCUUUCUGACGCUGAGACGCGAAAGCCAGGGGAGCAAACGGG